GACGAACGCUGGCGGCGUGCUUAACACAUGCAAGUCGUACGGUAAGGCCCUUUCGGGGGUACUCGGGUGGCGAACGGGUGAGUAACACGUUAGUAAACUUCCCACAACUUUGGGAUAACGCUAGGAAACUGGUGCUAAUACUGGAUAUGUGCUCCUGCUGCAUGGUGGGGGUUGGAAAGCUCCGGCGGUUGUGGAUGGGCUCGCGGCCUAUUAGCCUGUUGGUGGGGUAGUGGCCUCCCAAAGCGGCGACGGGUUGCCGGCCUGAGAGGGUGACCGGCCACAUUGGGACUGAGGAACGGCCCAGACUCCUACUGGAGGCAGCAGUAGGGAAUAUUGCAGAAUGGGCGCGAGACUGAUGCAGCAGCGCCUCGGGGGGGAUGACGGCCGUCGGGUUGUAAACCGCUUUCAGCAGGGACGAAGCUUUUUGUGACGGUACCUGCAGAAGAAGCACCGGCUAACUACGUG
rnacentral:rRNA from 1 species